rnacentral:rRNA from 1 species
GUCCACGCCGUAAACGAUGGAUACUAGCUGUUUGGAGUAAUCUCAGUGGCUAAGCGAAAGUGAUAAGUAUCCCACCUGGGGAGUACGUUCGCAAGAAUGAAACUCAAAGGAAUUGACGGGGGGCCCGCACAAGCGGUGGAGCAUGUGGUUUAAUUCGAUGAUACGCGAGGAACCUUACCAAGGCUUAAAUGUAGAUUGACCGGUUUGGAAACAGAUCUUUCGCAAGACAAUUUACAAGGUGCUGCAUGGUUGUCGU